rnacentral:lncRNA from 1 species
GUCUUCUUUUUUUGGCCUGCCUCUUCUUUUAAAUUGUUUCUUCUUCUUUCCCCCUCCCCGCUUUGACUUUUAGCCCUGGGCUAGUGCACACAUGGUGAGUGCACACAUGCAGACACAUGCACAAACAGCAACAAAACAGAGCUGCACACCCACAUUUACUGCUCUUCUGCAUUUUCUGUUGAUUCCUGCACUCACUUUUUCAGCUGUCUAAGUCAGGACCAAGACGUCCCAUCUGCAGAUAGGUGUUCAGAGGACAGGGACAGGACACACAGCAGCACCAUAGACAUGUCAGACUCAGAGACCACCACUGCCCCCGCCGAGGCCCCCGUCCCCGCUGCAUGUGCCAACAUAAAGGCUAACCUGGAUAAAUGGGCCCAGUGGAGCCAUGUUUUUUUUUUUGUUUUGUUUUUUGUAACAUCUGGGUCUAUGCUGGGUGCAGUGUGGCAGAGAAGGGGGCCGAGGGCUGCAAAGAUCUGA